rnacentral:misc_RNA from 1 species
GAGAAGGUGAUGGGUGCGUAUGGAUAUAAUAUCGAGCACAUACUGAUGGUUGACAUUAUUCCUGAUGCUUCUGUGAGAAGAGCUAUGAAUGAGAUAAAUGCAGCUCAAAGGAUGCAGCUUGCUAGUGUAUACAAAGGAGAAGCAGAUAAAAUUCUGCAAGUUAAGAAAGCAGAAGCUGAGGCUGAAGCCAAGUAUUUAGGUGGGGUUGGGGUUGCCAGGCAGAGGCAGGCAAUUACCGAUGGUUUGAGAGAAAACAUCUUAAACUUCUCACAUAAAGUAGAAGGGACCUCUGCCAAAGAAGUAAUGGAUCUUAUAAUGAUCACCCAAUAUUUUGACACCAUCAAAGACCUUGGGAACUCUUCAAAGAACACAACCGUUUUCAUACCACAUGGUCCUGGCCAUGUUCGCGACAUUGGUGAUCAGAUACGUAAUGGCCUGAUGGAAGCAGCUAGCGCAAAGGACGCUGAAUAGGUCUGCUCGUUUUAACGAUCAGAAGCCUGUGUCUGUUGUACCCAAGAAGGUUACACAAUAAGAACAAUUGGAGUUUGAUAGUUUUGGUUUGGAUUGUUUUUGUUUUCUCUUUAGCCAUGAGCAUUGACAUUGGCAACAUUGUUUGAUGU